GUAGUUUGAUCUUGGCUCAGAUUGAACGCUGGCGGCAUGCCUUACACAUGCAAGUCGGAACGGCAGCAUGAUCUAGCUUGCUAGAUUGAUGGCGAGUGGCGAACGGGUGAGUAAUACAUCGGAACGUGCCCUGUAGUGGGGGAUAACUAGUCGAAAGAUUAGCUAAUACCGCAUACGACCUGAGGGUGAAAGUGGGGGACCGCAAGGCCUCAUGCUAUAGGAGCGGCCGAUGUCUGAUUAGCUAGUUGGUGGG
rnacentral:rRNA from 1 species